UACGAAGGGGGCUAGCGUUGCUCGGAAUCACUGGGCGUAAAGGGUGCGUAGGCGGGUCUUUAAGUCAGGGGUGAAAUCCUGGAGCUCAACUCCAGAACUGCCUUUGAUACUGAAGAUCUUGAGUCCGGGAGAGGUGAGUGGAACUGCGAGUGUAGAGGUGAAAUUCGUAGAUAUUCGCAAGAACACCAGUGGCGAAGGCGGCUCACUGGCCCGAUACUGACACUGAGGCUCGAAAGCGUGGGGAGCAAACAGG
rnacentral:rRNA from 1 species